rnacentral:rRNA from 1 species
UUAUGUAUAGAUGACUGUAAAGCUUCCCAUCAUAACUCCGCAGUUAAGCGUGCCUGGGCGAGAGUAGUACUAGGAUGGGUGACCUCCUGGGAAGUCCUCGUGUUGCACCCC